CCGCUAUCUCUCUCUUCAUAUUGCUCCACCAAAAUGUAUGUCGAAGAUCACGAUACAUUUUGGUACUCCCAAGAUGGAUUGCAAACGGUGUGUUAUGCGCCUCCAUCAUGAUUUUAUACUUCAAGUCAUAAUCAUUAGGAACACAAAGUCUGGAGUUAACUCGAAGUAUUCCUUCUUCAUCGAUUCUUGCUUCCAGAAUAGCGUCUUCU
rnacentral:lncRNA from 1 species